ACGGCUCAGUAACACGUGGACAACCUACCCUGAGGUCGGGGAUAAACCCGGGAAACUGGGUAUAAUACCCGAUAGAUCUAGAUCGCUGGAAUGCUUUUAGGUCUAAAGUUCCGACGCCUCAGGAUGGGUCUGCGGCCUAUCAGGGUAGUAGUGGGUGUAAAGUACCUACUAGCCCACGACGGGUACGGGUUGUGAGAGCAAGAGCCCGGAGAUGGAUUCUGAGACACGAAUCCAGGCCCUACGGGGUGCAGCAGGCGCGAAACCUUUACAAUGCUGGCAACAGCGAUAAGGGGACCUCGAGUGCUACGAUACAAUCGUGGCUGUCUAGUUGCCUAAAAAGCAAUUGAUAGCAAGGGCCGGGCAAGACCGGUGCCAGCCGCCGCGGUAACACCGGCGGCUCGAGUGGUAACCGCUAUUAUUGGGUCUAAAGGGUCUGUAGCCGGCUUAGUUAGUCUCUUGAGAAAUCUGGCCGCUCAACGGUCAGGCGUUCAGGGGAUACUGCUAAAGCUCGAGACCGGGAGAGGUGAGAGGUACUUCAGGGGUAGGGGUGAAAUCCUGUAAUCCUUGAAGGACCACCAGUGGCGAAGGCGUCUCACCAGAACGGAUCUGACGGCAAGGGACGAAAGCUAGGGGCACGAACCGGAUUAGAUACCCGGGUAGUCCUAGCCGUAAACGAUACUCGCUAGGUGUCGGCCACGGUGCGACCGUGGUCGGUGCCGUAGGGAAGCCGUGAAGCGAGCCACCUGGGAAGUACGGCCGCAAGGCUGAAACUUAAAGGAAUUGGCGGGGGAGCAC
rnacentral:rRNA from 1 species